GUGAUGGCCUGGGAGGGGCCCAGGAGACUAGUUCCUGGCAGUGGCUGAAGAGAUACCCAAGGGUGAGCUCUCAGGUACUGGACAACCAGCUGGUUCUGCAGGGGGGUGGUGCAGGGUAAGCUGGGCUGGCCUGGAAUUUCCCUGAGGCUACCCUGCCUUGUCUACCUAGAUUAUCCACUGGGCCUGAUCCUGUUCCUUGCCUCCCUUGUCCACCUCAUUGACCUCUCCAGCUUCUGGUGACUCCUUGUAGGCAUUCUCUCAUCCACGUCCUGCAUGUCCUCAUCGUCCUCAUUGUCCUCUUCACCAUCCUCGUCAUCAUCUUCAUCCCCUUCCUCCUUAUCUUCACAGUGCUCUCAGGACAGCUUGCCAGGAGACAGCUGGUUGCCGUCUCUGUCUGCGGUGCUCUGGAGUCAGGCUCGAUGGUCUCGUUCUUGCUGCUCUGCAGCUCCGUCUCGUCCACACGGGGCCAAUCCAGAUUGAACCACAGUGUCUCAGUCAUACGGGGAAGAGUGAGGAAAACAAGGUGGACAUGGCUCCUAGACUGAGGUCCAAAAAUGUCUUAUGACUUGGUACUCUCACAGGGAUAGGACAAGUUCCUUAAAGCAGAGUAGACAAAUCUCUCCGGUGAGGCCAAGUGAAGGCUUGGAUCAACCCUCGGCUUCUGAAAGGCGUCCAAAUGAAUGAAGAUCCAAGUCAGCACAGAGAAUAGUUUACAGGCUUAACAACAACAAAGAUGACGGCAAAUAGCAGUGGUGAUGAGGCGGAGUCUAUGAAAGAGAACCAUGAGAACACAAUGAUUCUGCAGUUCAGUUCAUCAGCUUCUGGCCACCAAUGUUGUCCCAUCCCCAUCCCCGAUGUCGUCACAUCAGCAUCAGCAUACGGGGGAAAAUGCUGGCUAGUUCCAAACCACGCGCUUCGGAACCAGGCAGAUCUGAAUUUGAAUUCUUUCACUGUUCCCUUGGGCGAGUUACUAACACUUCUCUAUGUCAGUUUCUGCAUUGAUUAAGUAGAGGUGAUGAUGGCACAUCAUUGUUUUCAGGAGAAAAAAGGAUAAAGUAGGUAAAG
rnacentral:lncRNA from 1 species